UACGUAGGGUGCGAGCGUUAAUCGGAAUUACUGGGCGUAAAGCGUGCGCAGGCGGUUUUGUAAGACAGGCGUGAAAUCCCCGGGCUUAACCUGGGAACUGCAUUUGUGACUGCAUGGCUAGAGUACGGUAGAGGGGGAUGGAAUUCCGCGUGUAGCAGUGAAAUGCGUAGAUAUGCGGAGGAACACCGAUGGCGAAGGCGACUACCUGGCCUGUUCUUGACGCUGAGGCGCGAAAGCUAGGGAGCAAACGGG
rnacentral:rRNA from 1 species